AGAGUUUGAUCCUGGCUCAGAUUGAACGCUAGCGGCAUGCUUAACACAUGCAAGUCGAACGGCAGCGCGGGGAGCUUGCUCCCUGGCGGCGAGUGGCGGACGGGUGAGUAACGCGUAGGAAUCUGCCUUGUAGUGGGGGAUAACCCGGGGAAACUCGGGGUAAUACCGCAUAAUCUCUUCGGAGCAAAGCGAGGGAUCUUCGGACCUCGUGCUAUAAGAUGAGCCUGCGUCGGAUUAGCUUGUUGGUGGGGUAAAGGCCUACCAAGGCGACGAUCCGUAGCUGGUCUGAGAGGACGAUCAGCCACACUGGGACUGAGACACGGCCCAGACUCCUACGGGAGGCAGCAGUGGGGAAUAUUGGACAAUGGGGGCAACCCUGAUCCAGCAAUGCCGCGUGUGUGAAGAAGGCCUUAGGGUUGUAAAGCACUUUCAGCGGGGAAGAAAGGCUCAAGGUUAAUAGCCUUGAGAGUUGACGUUACCCGCAGAAGAAGCACUGGCUAACUCUGUGCCAGCAGCCGCGGUAAUACAGAGAGUGCAAGCGUUAAUCGGAAUUACUGGGCGUAAAGCGCGCGUAGGUGGAUACUUAAGUCGGAUGUGAAAGCCCUGGGCUUAACCUAGGAACUGCAUUCGAUACUGGGUAUCUUGAGUAUGGUAGAGGGAAGUGGAAUUUCCAGUGUAGCGGUGAAAUGCGUAGAUAUCGGAAAGAACACCAGUGGCGAAGGCGGCUUCCUGGACCAAUACUGACACUGAGGUGCGAAAGCGUGGGGAGCAAACAGGAUUAGAGACCCUGGUAGUCCACGCAGUCAACGAUGAGAACUAGCUGUUGGGAGGGUCUUCCUCUUAGUAGCGAAGCUAACGCGUUAAGUUCUCCGCCUGGGGGAGUACGGGCGCAAGGUUAAAACUCAAAGGAAUUGACGGGGCCCGCACAAGCGGUGGAGCAUGGUGGUUUAAUUCGAUGCAACGCGAAGAACCUUACCUACUCUUGACAUCCUUGGGAUCUCUGGAGAAAGAGGAGUGCUUCGGGACAAGUGACAGGUGCUGCAUGGCUGUCGUCAGCUCGUGUCUGAGAUGUGGGUCAGUCCGUUACGAGGCGCACCCUCGUCUAGCUGCCAGCGAUCCGUGGUACUCUAAGGAGAAACUGCAGGUAUACGGAGAGGAUGCGGAUGAUGUCAGGUCAUCUGUGCCUUA
rnacentral:rRNA from 1 species